rnacentral:rRNA from 1 species
AUUGAACGCUGGCGGCGUGCUUAACACAUGCAAGUCGAGCGGUAACAGGCGUAGCAAUACGUGCUGACGAGCGGCGAACGGGUGCGUAAUACAUGGGAAUCUGCCCUUUGGUGGGGAAUAACCCGGCGAAAGCCGGGCUAAUGCCGCAUAAGAUCUUCGGAUGAAAGCGGGGGAUCGUAAGACCUCGCGCCGAUGGAUGGGCCCAUGUCGGAUUAGCUAGUUGGUGAGGUAACGGCUCACCAAGGCGACGAUCCGUAGCUGGUCUGAGAGGACGGCCAGCCACACUGGGACUGAGACACGGUCCAGACUCCUACGGGAGGCAGCAGUGGGGAAUAUUGGACAAUGGGCGAAAGCCUGAUCCAGCGACGCCGCGUGUGUGAAGAAGGCCUGCGGGUUGUAAAGCACUUUCGAUGGGAACGAAAUGUGUCGGGCUAAUACCCCGGCAAGCUGACGUUACUCAAUGAAGAAGCACCGGCUAACUCUGUGCCAGCAGCCGCAGUAACAC